UACGUAGGGUGCGAGCGUUAAUCGGAAUUACUGGGCGUAAAGCGUGCGCAGGCGGUUAUGCAAGACAGAUGUGAAAUCCCCGGGCUCAACCUGGGAACUGCAUUUGUGACUGCAUGGCUGGAGUGCGGCAGAGGGGGGAUGGAAUUCCGCGUGUAGCAGUGAAAUGCGUAGAUAUGCGGAGGAACACCGAUGGCGAAGGCAAUCCCCUGGGCCUGCACUGACGCUCAUGCACGAAAGCGUGGGGAGCAAACAGG
rnacentral:rRNA from 1 species